GACGAACGCUGGCGGCGUGCUUAACACAUGCAAGUCGAACGGUGAAAGCGGAGCUUGCUCCGCUGGAUCAGUGGCGAACGGGUGAGUAACACGUGGGCAACCUGCCCCUCACUUCGGGAUAACUCCGGAAAACCGGGGCUAAUACCGGAUACGACCUCCUUGGGCAUCCUGGGAGGUGGAAAGUUUUUCGGUGAGGGAUGGGCCCGCGGCCUAGCAGCUUGUUGGUGAGGUUGUGGCUCACCAAGGCGACGACGGGUAGCCGGCCUGAGAGGGCGACCGGCCACACUGGGACUGAGACACGGCCCAGACUCCUACGGGAGGCAGCAGUGGGGAAUAUUGCGCAAUGGGCGAAAGCCUGACGCAGCAACGCCGCGUGCGGGAUGAAGGCCUUCGGGUUGUAAACCGCUUUCAGCAGGGAAGAAGCCGCAAGGUGACGGUACCUGCAGAAGAAGCACCGGCUAACUACGUGCCAGCAGCCGCCGCGG
rnacentral:rRNA from 1 species